GAGUAAUGUCUGGGAAACUGCCUGAUGGAGGGGGAUAACUACUGGAAACGGUAGCUAAUACCGCAUAACGUCGCAAGACCAAAGAGGGGGACCUUCGGGCCUCUUGCCAUCGGAUGUGCCCAGAUGGGAUUAGCUAGUAGGUGGGGUAAAGGCUCACCUAGGCGACGAUCCCUAGCUGGUCUGAGAGGAUGACCAGCCACACUGGAACUGAGACACGGUCCAGACUCCUACGGGAGGCAGCAGUGGGGAAUAUUGCACAAUGGGCGCAAGCCUGAUGCAGCCAUGCCGCGUGUAUGAAGAAGGCCUUCGGGUUGUAAAGUACUUUCAGCGGGGAGGAAGGGAGUAAAGUUAAUACCUUUGCUCAUUGACGUUACCCGCAGAAGAAGCACCGGCUAACUCCGUGCCAGCAGCCGCGGUAAUACGGAGGGUGCAAGCGUUAAUCGGAAUUACUGGGCGUAAAGCGCACGCAGGCGGUUUGUUAAGUCAGAUGUGAAAUCCCCGGGCUCAACCUGGGAACUGCAUCUGAUACUGGCAAGCUUGAGUCUCGUAGAGGGGGGUAGAAUUCCAGGUGUAGCGGUGAAAUGC
rnacentral:rRNA from 1 species